rnacentral:rRNA from 1 species
CACGUAGGGCGCAAGCGUUGUCCGGAAUUAUUGGGCGUAAAGAGCUCGUAGGCGGUCUGUUGCGUCCGCUGUGAAAACCCGGGGCUUAACCCCUGGCUUGCAGUGGAUACGGACAGACUAGAGGUAGGUAGGGGAGAAUGGAAUUCCCGGUGUAGCGGUGAAAUGCGCAGAUAUCGGGAGGAACACCGGUGGCGAAGGCGGGUCUCUGGGCCGUAACUGACGCUGAGGAGCGAAAGCGUGGGGAGCGAACAGG